GGUAACGAAACUCCCAAUGUUAAAAGAGCACCAGAUUCCUAAUCUGGGGGUCGCGCGUUCGAAUCGCGCCGGGAUCACCA
rnacentral:tRNA from 1 species